UAUCUUCAGGGCGGGGCGCAAUUCCCCACCGGCGGUAUAGUCCGCGAGCGCUUAGGCGUUGAUUCGGUGCAACUCCGGAACCGACAGUAUAGUCUGGAUGGAAGAAGAU
rnacentral:ncRNA from 1 species